rnacentral:rRNA from 1 species
AACGAACGCUGGCGGCAUGCCUAACACAUGCAAGUCGAACGAGACCUUCGGGUCUAGUGGCGCACGGGUGCGUAACGCGUGGGAACCUGCCCUUAGGUUCGGAAUAACUCCCCGAAAGGGGUGCUAAUACCGGAUAAUGUCUUCGGACCAAAGAUUUAUCGCCUUUGGAUGGGCCCGCGUUGGAUUAGCUAGUUGGUAGGGUAAAAGCCUACCAAGGCGACGAUCCAUAGCUGGUCUGAGAGGAUGAUCAGCCACACUGGGACUGAGACACGGCCCAGACUCCUACGGGAGGGAGCAGUGGGGAAUAUUGGACAAUGGGCGAAAGCCUGAUCAAGCAAUGCCGCGUGAGUGAUGAAGGCCUUAGGGUUGUAAAGCUCUUUUACCCGGGAUGAUAAUGACAGUACCGGGAGAAUAAGCUCCGGCUAACUCCGUG